ensembl:misc_RNA 7SK 7SK RNA
GGAUGUGAGCGCAAUCUGGCUGUGACAUCUGUCACCCCAUUGAUCGCCAGGGUUGAUUAGGCUGAUCUGGCUGGCUAGGCGGGUGUUACCUUCCUUCACCAUGGCUCCAUGUGUGUCCCUCCGGAAGCUCCGUACUCAGUCGAAGAGGAUGACCUUCACUGAUAGGGGAGGACAAUUCUUCCAUCAAGGGUAUAGGAGAAGCUGUGCUCCCCUGCUAGAAUCUCCAAACAAGCUCUCAAGAUCCAUUUGUAGGACAAUGUAGGGUAGUCAAGCUUCCAAGAGUCUAGACACAGCCAAAUGAGGUGCUGCAUGUGGCCACCUGCCUUUCUUA